GACAGAGGGUGCAAGCGUUAAUCGGAAUUAUUGGGCGUAAAGCGUACGUAGGCGGAUUAGUAAGUUGGAUGUGAAAUCCCUGGGCUUAACCUGGGAAUUGCAUUCAAUACUGCUAGUCUAGAGUACAGUAGAGGGAAGUGGAAUUUCCAGUGUAGCGGUGAAAUGCGUAGAUAUUGGAAAGAACACCAGUGGCGAAGGCGACUUCCUGGACUGAUACUGACGCUCAGGUACGAAAGCGUGGGGAGCAAACAGG
rnacentral:rRNA from 1 species